GGAGGCUGGCGGCGGACGGGCCCCUCGCCAAUCCGGUCAGGUCCGGAAGGAAGCAGCCGUAACGAGUUCUGCCCGGGUCGCCUGUUCAGUCUCCCAC
rnacentral:SRP_RNA from 1 species